GGUCGUGUGGUCUAGUGGUUACGACAUCUGCUUUACAUGAGCUUGAUCGCAGAGGAUCGCAGGUUCGAUCCCUGCCACGAUCA